UGUCCUCUAAAUAGGGACCAGCAUGAAUGGCAACAUGAGAAAGAACCUGUCUCUUUAGGCUAGUCAGUGAAACUGAUCUGCCCGUACAAAAGCAAGCAUAAAAAAACAAGACAAAAAGACCCUGUGAAACUUUAAAUACCCUUCAGCCACAUGAUAGGUCAUUUUUCGGUUGGGGCAACCAAUGAGAAGCAAACCUCAGAACAUCACAAGGCCUACAGGCCAAAUGAACCUUGACGAUCCAGUACUACUGAUCAAAGGACCAAGCUACUCCAGGGAUAACAGCGCCACAUUCUUUUAGAGUCCAUAUCAACAAGAAUACCUACGACCUCGAUGUUGGAUCAGGGCACCCCAAUGGCGCAAAAGCUAUUAAAGGUUCGUUUGUUCAACGAUUAAAGC
rnacentral:rRNA from 1 species